GCCGAAGUGGCGAAACUGGUAGACGCGCACGAUUCAGGUUCGUGUGGGGAAACUCUUGAGGGUUCGAAUCCCUCCUUCGGCA
rnacentral:tRNA from 1 species